GGCGUAGCGGGAGGCUCUGACGCGCGGUCCACACCACGGCCGCCGGGACCGCGCCGAGCCACUGGCGAGACCGACCCGCUGAUGG
rnacentral:ncRNA from 1 species